AGAACUCCUACUCAUGUGUCAAAACUCAGGACAAGGGGUCCUCCUGCAAUACACCCUCCAAGCCCACAGGCCAGUGCCUAGAAAAACGUCCAGCACAAAGCAGUAGACGGUGUCAGGAGAUACACAGCAAACGUAGCUCCCAAUCUUUCCUACGAGGAGCCUGAAAUGAAAUGGACAAGCACACAGCUGAGUAUAAAGCCCUCUUCCUGCCAUCAGCCAUUGAAAGGUUUUCCCCUUACUAUAUCCCCUCAAAGAGGAGACCAAAUGAAAAGAGGCUUCACAACGUCAUCACCGAAUCCAAAAGGAGUAAAUAAUCUCUAGUCGUGCUUUAAUUAUGUGUCAGCUUCCUGUGUCAGAUAUAAUGAAGAUGUGUCACAUCUGGGAUUCAUCUAGCUCCCGUGACCUCAGUCAAUGUCUCCCUUCAGGAUGGAGCCUUAAUAAUCUACCCAAUAUUACAGAGAAAUCUGGGAGGCAGUGAGUCUAGAUCUUGGAUUAUAGAAUCAGAGUUUAGAGUUUUAAAAGCUCCUUGGAGAAGCAUUCCGUACAUCCACAUCACUUUCAGAAUGGAGGACCUGAAACAGGGCCACUGAGAGCCCACACCAUGCCUGUGUGUGAAUUUAAAGGUGCAUCUGUUCAUCCCAAGGGAAGGGAACCACCUGGUCUCCUAAAUGUGCCAAAGCACUACCGAAUCUCCCGAAAACGUCAGUGCCUGCGAGGAUCUGCGGAUUUCUGAAGACCAGCACGUUCACUUGCAAGUACAGGUUUGGGACAAGACACUAUAUCAGACUCUGAAAAGUCAACAUAAAAAGCACUAAAAGAACUGCUAUUGCCGAGAGGGCCUAGAGGCAAUAGCACUCAAUAGCAACAAGCAAACCCAGGAACCAGAUCUGGGUUUCUGAUACCAUUGUCCAAUAGAAGGAAUUCAGCUCCUUUGGAGAAACAGCUGAUUCUAAGGCUGGAGCAUGUAAUAUACAAGAUGAACCUGGGGUAUCUUGUAGCACAGAAAAUAAGGAAGUGCUCAAAAACCAAACUGAUGGGAUAUGUCAAGGGGACACAAGAGUCAGCUGAAAGAGCUCCCACAGGCUACUUGAAGAGCAAAAUAAAUAAUAUAGUAUUGGAUUAUAACCCAAAGUCUAAAAUAAAUAAUUCUGAGCCCUGUUAUGGGCUGAAUUGUAUCCUCCCCCCCAAAAAUUAUUUGCUGAAGCCCUAACCACCGGUGAUACUAUAUUUGGAAAUAGGGCCUUUAAGGAAGUAAAUAAGGCUAAAUGAGGUCAUAAGUGUGGGGUCCUAGUCCCGAAGGACUAGUGCCCUUUUAAGAGGAAGAGACACCAGAAAUCCUUCUCUCUUGGUAUGUGCACAGUGAGGAUAUGGUGAGAAGGUAGCCAUCUGUAAACUGAGGAGAGAGGUCUCAUCAGGAACCAACCCUACUAUUACCUAGAUCUUAGAGUUCCAGCCUCCAGAGCAGCAAGAAAAUUAAUUUCUAUUAUUGAAGCCACCCAGUCUAUGGUAUUUUGUUAUGGCAGCCCUAGUAGACUAAUGCAAGUCCAUACUAAUAUAAAUGACUGAAUAUACAGAUAAGUGGGGAGAAGAGACAAAUUCCUAUACAUUAGAAUUUUUAAAAAAUGUAUGUGGAUACUGCCCCCUUGAGGAGGUAGAGCACAACUCCCUACACUGUGUGCAGUGACUUUCUUCCAAAGAUACAGUAUGGAAAGGGGGUAAAAGUACAGAAGAUUAACAUCAUCAGUGGUAAUUCAUGUUGAUAAUGUACCCUUGAUAUGACGUAGUGAGAACGGCACUUUACCUCCCCCAAACUAUAAUCCCAGUCGAAGCAAAAGAAAAACAUUAGACAAACCCAAAUUGAGGGCCACUUUACAGAAUUUCUCCAAAGUGUCCAGGUCACCCAAAAGAAGCAAAGUCUAAAACUGUCACAGUUUAAUGGAUCCUAAGGAGACAUGAUGACUAACUGUGAUGUGAGACCCUGGAUGGAAUCCUGGAGCAAAGCACUAGGUAAAAACUAAAGACAUCUGAAUAAGGUAUGAGUUUCAGUUAAUAACAAUGUGUCAAUAUUGGUUCAUUAGUUAUGAUUAAUGAACAUAUUCAUGUUAGAUCUUAACAGGGGAUACUGGGCACAGGGUAUAUAUGGAAACUACCUGUACUUUUUUUUUUUUUUUUUUUUGGUAAGCUUGCUGUAAAUCUAAAGCUAUUCUAAACUAAACAGUGUAUUUAAAACAAAAAUGUGAAAUGGUGCAUUUGUUAUGUCUUCCACACGACUUCUAUUUUAUAUUGUUUCUCUGAAUAUUCCAAAGUGAAUAUUCACUUACUGUGUGUUGGGAGCAGAGUUUAGCUUAGUUUUGUUUCUUCUCACUGAGCAGGGCCCAUGUGUAGUCCAUAUUCUGCCACAUCUUGGUAGAAGCCCAGCUGAUAAAGAUUUGGGGGAGAGGGGAAGGUGGAGGAUCAAAAUUGAGCAUGUUUAUCUGCACGAAUAAGGAAUUCUUGUAGGUAUUUUUUAAAGAUUCAUGUGAGUCCUCAUGUUUGAAACAUCUUCACAGUUGUAUUCUCUCUCUUUCAAUUUUUUUUCUCUUUCUGUAGACAAUAUCUGAAAAUCCCUGAAAAAAAGACAUGCUUUUAGAUGUUUUGGAUUAAAUUCUCCAUUGUCUUUUUUCCUUUGAAUCCUCUUGUUCUCUUUUCCCACAGAGAAACUCCCCGAUUUUUUCAUUUUAUUUUAAGAUUAUGUUACUGAACCAGAUGAUACAGUUUUCAUCCUUUGCUUCUCAGGCUUAGAAAGAAAGAAAGAAAGAAAAAAUGCCCGUGCUGUGGGAUUUAGCAAACACUUCUCUCUUCUCUUCCAGACCCUGUCAGCUGCACUUUUCCAACCGCAGUCAAAGUGGCUCUACAACUCCAAACCCUGUUCCUCCUGGAUUUUCGUGCUGGCCGUCAACCAAGAACUGGCUCCAGCUGUACUGGCCUCUAAUUUGCUUAACUCUUUCCUCUUCUUUACUCUUAUGUUGAGAGUUAGAGAUGGAGGAAAGGAGAUUCAUUCAUUCUUCCCACAAGUAUUUAUCGGACACCUAUUAUAUGCCAGCCACUGGGGUUACAGCAGUGAAUAAGGCAGGCGAGGUCCCUGCCCAUAGAAACCACAUUGUGAAGGAUGGGUAACAUCAUGGCGCACUUAUUAUUGCUACAAGAUUUAUUUGCAUGUGUGCUUUCAUUUAGUGCUGAUGAUGUAGGCACUACUGUCAUCCUCAUUUACCGAGACACAGAUGCCAAUUGACUUACCCAAUAUCAUGCAGCUAGUAAGUGACGGAGACACAAUUUAAAUCAAAGGACUCAGAUUCCAGAACGCUUGGAUUCCUAACCGUGAUAAUAUUGAUAAAAUUGUUCUUUUGUGUAGAUAAAUACGGUCCUAUUUCUAUCUUUCUCUUUCGACUCUAAAAAAAAAUUAAAUGCUGCUUCUAAACAAUAUCUGUAGUCUCAUGACAAUUCGAAAAAGAAAAAGCAGUUUUUUUCUUUUCUUUUUUUUUUUUUUGAAGAAAAUGGUGCCGUUGGCAUUCAAUAGUUGCUUUUGUAGCAUCCAUCACCUCUCCCAUUUCUAGGUGAACCACAGCCCCCCGCCCCCACCCCAUUGCAGAGUAUCCAGGUGGUUCAGGUGGGCUGAACCCAGCAGGAACUCUACGGCGAGGCUCUGACUGGCGUAAGCCAAACAGCCUGUGCCUCUUUCCGGCCAUGUGAUUGGUGGGGGGAUGAAGCUCGUGCCCCAGGCAUAAACCAAUCAACGCCUGGCAUUCUAAUAGCUACUAUGAUUCGUUCAGGUUUAUAGAACGAGAGACGCGAGGUGAGGCGCUUUCUCCUCCAGGUUAGGAAGGAGGUGGUACGUAACCCCAGUUGCUGGCAGCCAUCCUGGAGUAGGAAACUGAAAGCACAGAUAAACGGAGCUAAAGUUCUAAUUCCACCGCGUCUGAUGUCUUCCUCACUCCUCGACUUUUCAGACUCGCUCCCAGCAGUGCAUAGAACUCAGCUUGCUGCCAGCCUGUGUGCAUCUUCAAGGACUCGGGGGACUUGCUGCUGCAGUUCUGUGAAAACAAAGCUGUAUCUUCUCCAAGGGGUAUUCCAGGUACACCCCAUAGAGCUCCUCUAAAAAGUGUAAUGCUGGAUAGAAAGACAAUGGGGCCAGUUGCUGGCACUGGAAGAAGACACCCCCUGCCACAGUAUUUCAAGACACCGGAGGCCAUUCGUGAGGGAAGUAAAUAGCGGUUCAGCACCAACUGUCUCUAUGGCACCUUCCAACUCAAAAGCCAGUGGGAGCUCCCAACUGUGAGGGCCCAAAGAGAAAAAGAAACAGCAUCAAAAGCAGUGGUACAUCAGAUAAACAGAAACAUCUCCGAAAAAGCUUACUUUCAAGAACCAAAUGAGGUGGAGGCUUAAAAUUCUUACAGUGUAAACUGAAGGUUAAAUAAGAAUGGCUGUUGGAAUUUGUGGAUGAGUGCUGUCACUGAAAUUCUCACGGAGGAGAAGGUAUACAGCUGGAGAUGAGAUUUUACGCAAGGGGGAACAUCUGGAGACACAAGAUGAAGAUAUAGUCAUUCUUCCUAUUCACAAUCUGUUGCAUUUCAACCUUUAUUACUAGUAAGUGAUGAGCCAAAGUUUGAAAUGAGUUUUAAAACAUUACUUCAAAAUUUCUAAAUAUUAAUUAAAAGUAUGAUAUAAAUAGUAGGAAAGGGAAUAUUGUUUUUCUCGGUCAAAAUAAAACACUCUUUUGGGGGAAGAGGUGGCAGAGAAUAUAAAUGAAGCAUCAUUUUAAUCUUCCUACAAAGUGAAGUUUUGGGAAAUUACUACCAUUUAUAAAGUUGGGGGAACAAGGAAGAUUCCAUUUUUAGCCAGAGAAAAAGGUCUGCAUCAAAUUCUCUGGCAUUAAAGAUUCCAGAAAAUGCAGGAGUGCAAAAAAAAAAAAAAUAAAGUAAAAUGUUCACUGCUUAUCAUCUGCCUCUGGUUAUGAACAUAUAAAAAAAUUAGGCUACAGAAAAUGUGUUCUUAGCUCUUGUUCGAAUAGGCCUGGCCUGAUAUAGAAAGAUCAGUUGAAGCCUAGGGAAAACUCCUGGCAUACUCUGGUUUAACAAGUGUUCAUUUAGAGUAAGGGCUGCCACAUGUUUUCUGUAAUGGGCCAAAAAGUAAAUACUUUUGGCUUUGCAGGCCAUAAGGUAGCAUGAUAAUACAAUGCAUAGGCAGCAAGAUGGUACGAUAUAUAAACAAAUGCACAUGGCUGUGUUCCAAUAAAUUACAAAAUAGGUGGUAGGGCUUGAUUUGGCCUGUGGGCCAUAGUUUGCUGACCCAUGAUUUAGAGAAUAUAUUAUAUUUUUUCCCCAAAUGCUCUAACACUGAGUAAACAUGCCUUCUUUUGACUCAUCUGCAGAUAUAAUGAUACCUUAAUCACCUUACUAGGUUUUACCAAGAUGAUAUUCUGGUUCUCAUCUGAGAGAGAAAAGAGGGUAGGAAGUUCUAGCUGGCAGGAACAGAAUCAUGAGAGGCAGAAAGAUGUGAAUUAGUGUAGCACAAGGGGAACUGACAGAGCUGAAGAGGACUGAGAACUGUGAGAGGCAAGGAGUACUUAGGCAGGGAAAUCAGUGUUGAUGGGAGAACGAACUGACUCUGAACGUGCAGGGUUUGCAGGUGAUGCACGUGGCUGUCUUAAUGCUCGGCACACUACGAUCACCCAGGGCUGCCCAUCGUAGGCUUCUCAUGCGCCAGGAGAAAGAGGCCAUGGGCCCUAGAGGAGGUCAAGGCUGGAGAGCCUGCCAGGUAAGACACGGAAACAGGUGAACACAGAUUACUUCAAAGACGUCAGAAUAGAGCAUUUCCAAAAAGGAAUUUAGAGAAGUUCUUGCUUGAAGCUUAAAGGUGUGAAAAAAGUAUCUCAAAAUGCUGUGAGGAAACAACAAAAAACCUCCAGAUGUAAACUACCAAAACAGAAAUUCCUUUUUUCCUCUCAAAAUACAACCUAGUGGUAGUGGUCAGGUUCCACAUAAUAAAACCAUCAACUCUAACUGUCAUGACUAAUAAAGCAAAUUGUGUCUUGAAUGAUUAAGAAACAAAAAUCUUGCUUGCUCCUUUGAUCUCAGUGAUAUACUAAUAGCUAAUAUGCUAAACUCCUUAGGAAUUAACCAUUCUUAAUCAUAUCACUUAUUUUAAGAUGUGUUUAUACAAGAGGGGUGAAAAAAAACAAAGGCCAAAACAAAAAAGAUUACAGUAAAUUCUAAUGAAAACAUUCCAAAAGUUUUCAUCCACAAAUCAAAACCAGUACAAUCUUCCAAAUUGAUUAUUGCUUGCUUAUUCUGAAUGUUUACAAUGCUUUUUAGAUUAUUAUAGAAAAAGAUCUCUUAGUUAAAGCUUGUUUAAAUUUAUAUAAUGUUUAAACGUUUAUAGAUGAAAUCAGGACAAGUUAUGAAACCACCUUCUCUUCCCAUUAAAGUGCUUCAUCCUGAACUCCUUUUACCUUUCUAAUUCGAUUUAAAAUAACAAAUUCCAACACUCACUUUUACCAAUUUAUUUAACUUAAACACUUCUGAACAAGGCUUCCGGUUUAAGACCUGGAGCAGAAUGAUCCAUGUAGUAAUUUUGGUAAUAUAUUAAUAUUAUAUAUAUUUCGUAUUUGCAUAGCAAGUUUGAACAGCAAGUAUAGAAUACCAUUAAUUGAGAAAGAGUCCUUUACAACCUUAAGAUAUACAACUUGUGUGAGAUAUAACUGCCAAAUUUUUCUCAUUGCACAUGAAAUGAUUUAACUAGAAAGGAUAAAGUAAAAUAGAACUCUUACGUAAAGACUGUGUAGGUGUGAAUAAUAAUACAAAGAAGGGAUUCUACCCUUAGAUUUUCCAUUUCCAAGACUUAAUAUGGCAAUAGCUUUCAGAUUACAUAUUUAUUUUUCCCACAUAACUAUCCACACGGCCAUAAUGUUUUGAUACUGUCAAGCCUAUUAGAUGACAUAAAGACCUAGUCUAUACAUUUAAUGUCACAAUCUAAUGGAAGAGAGAAAAAUAUGUUCCUAUGUUUCCACAAAUAUUAUUAAUAUUAUCUUAAAAUUACCUUCUCAAAUAACAUUCAAACAUACAUUAAUCCCCCACCCUCAAAAAACUGUUGAGUUAUAAAUAAGUAGAGAUUCCAAUGAUGUAAUUCCAAAUUAUCUAAGUCAGCAAGGAUACUUGUAAGCAUUUUCUUUUUUUUCAUCCCCAGUUGUAGCACUUAGGAGAAGACUUCACUGUGUACUGCACCUGAAACUCUUUAAGGUACUCCCACUAGCAAGAGAUUCUGAACAUGAGUCUAAUAUUUAAAUAAUAUUUUAAUUCACUAUGCUUUUAAACUCUGAUUUAUCAUCAACAUUAUUUUUACUUUAAAAGUAGUUCUCUACACUAGUCAAAUAUAAUCAGAUGCUUUCAUCACAGGACUGUUAGGGCAAACAACCAAUUUACUGGUCAACAGGGAUCGCUAAACAAUAUAGCGUUUAAAAUUAUCUAGCCUCACCCAACUUCCCUUAACUGGCAAAGUGCUACAGAAGAGAAGAGGGGGGAAAAAACCCCCAAAAGCCAACAAACAAACCAAAAAACCACCAAGGUGUAACGGGACUAUCUAAUAUCCUGGAGUCAUGAAACAAAUAUCUUUUCCAUGUAGCACUGUCUGUUCACCAUAAACCUUUUAAAAUGUUGUAAAAUUAGCUACCCUUCUAAACACCUACAGAAAUAUAAGCAGGGCCCGUGUUCAGCUCGUUAGCUAGGUGUAAGUAUGUAGCUCAUUACUGGAAAGGUCUUUAAAGCUUACUUAUUAUACCUUUCAUCAUUAUCAGGAGCAAUCUGCUGUCAGGAAUAAUCAAGGAGCCUCUGAGAACUUGUCUUCAGGAAUGAUCAUGCACACACAGAUGACAUUCUAGCUUGCAGACAACAUCUGACAGUGCUACUAAGAGUCCUUCCAAAACAAUAAUAAAGUUAACUGGUAUAUAAUUUCCCUUUAGCCUUUAAGUAAAAUUUUGCUUUAAAAAUCACUUUAUUGGGCUUCCCUGGUGGCGCAGUGGUUGAGAGUCCACCUGCCGAUGCAGGGGACGCGGGUUCGUGCCCCGGUCCGGGAAGAUCCCACGUGCCGCGGAGCGGCUGGGCCCGUGAGCCAUGGCCGCUGAGCCUGCGCGUCCGGAGCCUGUGCUCCGCAACGGGAGAGGCCGCAACAGUGAGAGGCCCGCGUACCGCAAAAAAAAAAAAAAAAGAAAAAAAAAAUCACUUUAUUGUAUGUUCCAUAUUGACUCUUCACUAACUACCUAGGAAAAUAAUUUGGGAACCAGUGUGAAACAUAUUGUAAAUCAGUUGUCAAAUGCUCUCAAGUAUAUAAUGUUCUUCAGUGCCAGUGUUAGAAACAGAAUUCGGUUAAUGCCAUUAAUUGAAAGUAAGUAGGGCAGUGGUCCUUUUUCUUACUCUUCCAUGAUUUCCCAAACAAUGCGCAAAAGGCCCAGCUACUCCAAAACAGCCCACUGCUGACUUGCGUUGUGUCAGCAGAGAAGUCAGGGUAGGAAACAUAAAGCAAAGCCCUUUGGGAUUCUUUCUACACAGGAACAUACACUCUAAAUGUGUAAGUGAAAUAAGGUAGUAGGAGGAAAGUCUCCGACAGAUAUGAUCUGCCAUGAUCAUUACAAUUAUUAUAAUAUUAACCACUGGGCUUCUUUUUCUCCCUAUUGCCACAACUGUACAACUCACAGUAGGGACCCCUCUAGCCUUUCUCCAGUGGUUUCUGCCAGAGAAUUCAUCCCUCAGGCCCAAGGCGUCCACUCUCUUAUGCAUCUAGAAUCACUUUCUGUGUUCUCUCGUUUACUAUGAAGAACCGGACCGAGAGAAGCUCUUUGCCAUUUAACUACUGUAUGUCAUUAAAGAAACAGCUAACACAGCCAUUACUCUCUAGGCACAUGGACACCUACAAAAUUCAAGAAAAAUGAUUAUCUGCCUUUUUUAAAUGGUAGAAAUUAAUACUAUAUAAUCACCUGGGCAAAAAUCAAUCUGACAGUCAAAAAUUCCUCCUUAUUUCUAGGCAAAGACUCUUUAUAUCCUUUAAAUUAAACUCUGUUAAAUCACAUGGACCCACAGUUACCCAUGGUGGUAGAUUUGGUACUGUUGUUCUCAAUUCCUUGCGCUUCCCUGUAAGAGUACAAUCGCUGCUUUUUGCUAUGGGACCCGUAGUACCUCUUUGUGGGUGUCUACUUCCUAGCCGCACUGACAUCAGGAAUUAGCCAGGUGCCUUUUUUGGCCAGAGAAAUACAAGCAGAAGUGACAUUCUGCCAGCUCCUGGAAGAGCUUUAAGUGUCGUCAGUGGCUGGGCCAGGCGUCUUCCUCUUCUCCCUCUGCCAGGAGAACUGCCCCUUCCUGACAGAGGCUACUCCUCGGUCCGGAUCACAGCAGGGGAGAGGCACCUGGAGGACACGUGCAGCCAGCAUACAAAUUAAGAGAAAGAAGCUUCGGUGUGUGUGUGGGGGGAGAGGGCUAUGGUGGGAACAGUUUGCCCCAGCACAGGCAAAAAGACGGUGCACUGUUUGCAGUUUAAACGUAAUAAAACUCACUUUGUCAAAUUCCUCUUUAUCAUCAUCCCAUGCAGGCAGUUCUAGACAAUUUCAGUGGUCAGACAUCCCACCUACCUGGGGUGGACUGCUCUCAUUGCCUCCCCUCCCCACUUCUUGGCUACUACUGCGUAAAUCACUCAAAUUUUAGGAUUGUUUGUGACUUCAGGAAGCUGGCAAAAAGAAUUAAACCCUAAUAUUCUGGCUGGGGUUUCAGCUCGCUUAUGUCACAUGUAUAAUAUCUGCUCGUCCCAUUCAAACUUGACCUAUUUUUUCCUCUUCUAUUCCUCCAUGCUACCCACUGACACUGAUUUUAACAAUACAAGCUGCAUAUGGAGAAUCUCCACAUAUACACACUUCCUGUGUUUCCUAUGAAAAUGGAUGCCUAGAAAGAUGACUGACAUAGUAGUCCACACAACACUGGUCAUUUAAGCUUGGUAGGCUUGGAUUAGUAUAAAUGCAAAGUGAGGGACCUCCCUGACCCUACAUUCCCCCAAAUCCUACCUCCUUUUCUAUUAUUUUAAACAGGGUUUUACUGUGAAAAAUAGUGAAAAUACUCAAUUUUUAAUACUCUUAAGUUUUAUCAAGCUUCACAGAGAAGUUCUUACUGUUCAUUAAGUAACUGUUCUACUUCCAUGAAUAGGCUUUACAUUCAUGACUUGAAUGUUCAUGUUUAGCCUUUCAUAUCAAGAUAAGCAUGCAAACAUAGUAUAGAUGGGGGGCUUCACUGGUGGUGCAGUCAUUGAGAGUCCGCCUGCCGAUGCAGGGGACACGGGUUCGUGCCCCGGUUCGGGAAGAUCCCACGUGCCACGGAGUAGCUGGGCCCGUGAGCCAUGGCCGCUGAGCCUGCGCGUCCGGAGCCUAUGCUCCGCAACGGGAGAGGCCACAACAGUGAGAGGACCGUGUACCGCAAAAACAAAAACAAAACAAAACAAAUAUAGUAUAGAUGGUCUGGGGAGAAAUGAUUAUUUCAGCUGGUACUGUACCUGAUCCCAAUUUUUGCUUCCAUCUUAAUCUCCUAGCACAACGAGUAUGGUUCAGCCAUACUGAACCAAUUACUAUUCUCCAAAUAUAGCCCGAAGUUUCCCAACCCACAUCUCUUGCCUUUUUGCUUACGCUUUUCCCAAGACUAGAAUACAUUCAUUUCAUCUAAGUCUAAUAUACGUCAUGUCCUUUAAUUCAAGUAUCAGCCCUCUGCACCCCCCUCCCCUCUUUCAAUCUCUGUUUCACACUACAAUAAAAAUUUGCUUGUUUUCCUAAGGGACAGAAGUAGCUAAAAGCUCGGGAGACAGAAUCCUUGCUUUAGCCAGUAGGUGUUAGUUUUCUCUGGCCCCAGAGUAUAAAAUGUAGAUGAAAACGGAACGUAUUUCACAGGGUUGCAUUGAGGAUUGAAUGACAAAUGCAUGUAAGAUGCUUAUCACAGUGCCUGAUACGGAGCAAGCACUCAGUAGAAUUACCUAGUAAACUAUUAUAAUGUAUUAUUAUUACUAUUUUUGGCCUCACGGCGUGGCAUUCGGGAUCUUAUUUCCCCGACCAGGGACUGAACCCGCACCCCCUACAGUGGAAGCGUGGAGUCGUAACCACUGGACUGCCAGGGAAGUCCCUACAAUGUUAUUAUGAAUCCUUGCAUUUCAACAGUACUUAGCACCAUGCCCAGUGUCUGCUCUACUAGGUACUGGGGGAAAGCAGCUAAAUCAGGUAGUACCCGAUCACAAGGAGGUAGGAAGUUUAAAGAAAUUCCACGAGCAUAAGGGAGUGAGAGAAUCAGCAAUCACAUCACGAAAGCUGUCAAGCAAGGCUGGACCAUGAAUGCUGAGCAGGACUGUGAUCACAACCUGGGCAGAUGAUAACAUAAACAAAAGCACAGGAAAAUAAACAAAAUCAUAAACCUGUUAAUACUUACUAUCAUACAUUAAAUAUAUGCUAUAAGGCCUUUUCUGCUACCCACUCCAUUUGCUACAAUUAUUUUCAUCAAUUCUAGACGGACAGGUAGAGAUGUGGACUCAUCAAUGCUGAUUCUAAUGAAAACUCACGGACUUCACUCAUAACAGAACGCCUUUAGGCCUUUAUAUCAGCGAUACUUUAUCUUGCUUGGACAAUUAUUUGGGUUCUACUGUAACAAAAAGUUGUAAGAAACAAAUUCAAAUGGAAAGAGGAACUAAUUUCAGUAAGCUGGGUGACAUCACUGACAUGAUUAACUAAGAGAAAAAAAAUUCAUAAAAACCAAUACAGAAACAUGACAAGUUAUGAUUUAAACUAUAAAAAUUAAUACUUUAGCUCUUAAAUCCAUUUCCUUUCUGUAGCAGAUAAGGCAUGAAAUUUAAACAAAUGCACAAACUCUAAAAUAUACUUAGGAUAAACGGAUGGGAUGACUAAACCGCAUUAAUACAUAAGAAAACCCUAUUAUUUUACAAAAUGCCCAACUGUGAAUCUAAUUAUAUUCCAACUCCCAAGACUUUUACCCAGUAAUUCAAGAUACAUAAAAGUGAAUAUUCUUUAUAAUAAGAUCUAUAAAGCAUCAUUUUACUUCAUUUCCUUAAAACUGUGGAUACAUGUAGAGGAAUGUAUUAAUGGUAAAGUAGAACUGUCCAACUUUUGAACACCCUCAAAAAGGGCUCUAUCAUGUAACUGCAGUAGUCUUGUUAAUGUUACACUGAAGAGUGAUACACAAAGGAGCUUGCUCUGUAGAAAGAAUUCUAUCUAGAUUCCCAGGAACAGAUACCACUGUAAGAACAGUCUGCUCAUGCAGGAACAGUUAAAUGUUUUGUUUCUCCUUUGCAUUAAAUUCAGUUUCUCUAUAUACUGUGCCUUUAAACAGAAGUGUGUUUUCAUGUGUUCUUAUCUAAAAGGAAAACUGCUUUAUCAUAGGAAAGGUCAAAGGUGACACUCUGUAUACACAUACAAAGAGUCCUUUUAUAACCAUAAGAGAGAACAAAAAGGAAUGUAAAACUCAUCUUCCCAACUUCAAAAGAAAGUCUGAAAUGGAUUACCAAGGAAAUUAGUCACUGAUCUUCUGAAGAUGAAAUUAGAUGUUACAGGAGAUCUGCAGGUUUUCAACUAACUCAUGAAGAGUACCAUGGAAUAUGUGAACACCCUGCCCAUGCACACAGGGCUCGCUCCCUCCCAAGGUACAGAUCCAAAGGUUUUACUCUGCCAUCGUUCAGAAGGCCUUCUUGGAGCAUUCUCUUCUACCUUACUUAACAGAAACUGUCUCCUUCUUUGACGAGGUCCAUGUACGUACACUGUGCUACAAUUCACCUCACCCACAUCCUUCCCCCCCACAAGGUCGUUUUAUUGUCAAACCAUAAAUACAACACUGAGAUGAAAUCAUUUAAGCAACUGAUCCUCCCUAACCAUUAAAACGAUGUCUUUUUGCCUUGGCAUCAACCAACUGGGAAAUAAUGUUGCAAGAAUUCGGGGUGUAGGGGGUGCUGAAUUUCCGGCAGGGGCUUUUGGCGAUUUAAGGAACCAAGUGGAACUUUCCUCUUCUCCCUAGGAAUGUCCCACUUUUGGACAAGAACAGACAGGUAAAAAGAGCAACAUUUAAACAGCUCAGUUUUAAAUUUUAUUACCUUGUAAAAAUCUUUUUUUUUUUUUUUUUUUCUGUUCCUUUCCUCCAUUUGACAUCAGUAAAAGUUUUAAACACCACAAAACUGAUUUGGGUGUAAAUGGCAAAUGGUACCAAAACGAAAUGAAACCAAAAAUCCAAAGGACAAACAGAAAAAAAGCCUAAAUAAACCCUCAAGUUUGGUCUUGGGGGUUUACAUAUCACAAGAACCGUCAACUCAACCCCCGGGCAACGUGACUCCUUGGAGAACUGCUGGGUCCACACCAAUGACACAGGAGACCGGAAACAACGUCUUCUGUUAAUUAACACAGCAAGGCUGACACUAGGUAACUUGUUUUUUUAAAUACAGUACAUUGUACACAGGUCCCAAGAAAACCCUGCAUAAGCCCCUUGUGGAGACUUGAGCCAACGCACUGGCUGUUUAUAAAAAUAUUGUGUUGCUACAAAAGUAUAAAUUAAUGCUACUGGUACUAAGAAAUAUUAAACACAUAAAACUUCCAAGGAUUAAGAAAAAUAUUCAUUAGUACCUGUAGAAAACUCUGGCCUAAAAAGAUUUUUUUGUGUUUCUUUUCUUGUAAAUUUUUUUUGGGUACUUUUUUAAGAUGACUUGAGUUUCUUGCACUUGGAGAGAGACACAGUCAGCUGUGCCUAUGGCAUUGCCUAGAACGUCUUAACUACUGAGAAAGGCUGGGGGUGCACACGCAUGGGUACUGAGUGGGGCCCGGGAGGGAGGGGCACCAAGGCUUUCUCAAGAUUUACCUGAUGUGAAAGAAUCACUGAUGCGAAGUCACGGGGAAAAGAAAAAGGCAGGAUCAUCACAGCACCACUGAGAAUAAUUUAUGCUUUUUUAAAAAUAUCUCUGCUUCAGGUGGUUGCACAAAAUGAUUUCCUGAUGCUUGGCACCUGAAUGGCCCUGGACGCACUGCCCGGCGGGGCCGGGAGACUCCAGCCCCGUGCCAGGCCACGAGCUCGCUCACCGCUUUGGAACCCAGCCCCCUGGCUGGGUGGGAGGGAAGGGUCCCAGGUAGGGACCGGCUGCCACCUGGGUUGCUGGAGGAGCCCCCCUUCCGGCUGGCCUCAGACUCCACGGUCUCUUGCCAACCUGGACUUCAGGAAGCGCCACAGGGAUCCCAGACCCCUGAGGCUGCGGACCAGGCCAGGCUGUGCCCCUUUAAGGAACUUUGGAUCGAAGAGUCAAGGUGCCUGGUGGGUGGGGAAGACACCCAUGGGUCCUGAUGCUGACACCCACCUGCAAACAUAGCAAAUCCUUCUCUGUACAGGAGUUGAAUGAACCUUUAAAGCAUCGCCCGUGGUGGUGGAGGGGCAUGAAUAUAACAAACGGCAACCCGCUGCCCUUCACCCUCAUCAAAGUGGGAGCAGGUGCCUCUGCGCACAGAAACCACAGGGUCCCUCCAGGGGAUGGUGGGGCUCCACUGACCACGAUCCUCAAACGCAAAUGAGAGGAAGAAAAACAACAACAACAAAAUCCUCCAGAAAACCCUGAAAAGGGGACAGUGGGAGGGAAACAGAAGAGGGAAAACACUGCAUCACUGGUGCACCAUAACUGGCCUAGCAAACAUUAGCCACAGUGAAGAGGGGGCAGGCCCCUUCCCAGUUCUCCCACUGGCCCGGCUGGAUACAGGGGGCUGAGGUGGGGCUGGCGGGGCUGAGACAGGAGCCCCCAGCCACUGUCUCCAGCGGACAGCCUGAGCCUUACUUAGCCUCCUGGUUUCAUCUAAACCAGCAGCCUUUCUAGAGGCCCUCCCUCAGGUAUGUCCCAGGGACAGAGGCACUGCCGCUGUGCCCAAGGCAAGGGCAGAGCUUUGAACCUGCCCGGCUCAGUGGGCAGGAGGAGACUGCUGGCCGUGCUUUGGGUGCCUCCUCUUCCCGUCUCUGCAGGCACAUCCAUCGUCACGGAAACACUCAAGUACAGUCCCCUUCUGGGCCAUGGCUCACAGGACCUCCCUUCUCCAUCUGCAUCCCAGGUUCAUUCCAAACCUUUCUUGUGAACCUGUGCCCGCAAGGGUGCAUGCUGCAUCCCUGACAGCUCUCCAGGUGCCCACUUUCCAAGGAGUCUAGGCCAAGUCCAGGCGCAAGCCUAGGGGACCCCUAAAGGCAGAGGGUCUGCUUCACAGUGGAAAACACGCCUUGCAGAGUUUUUCUCUGGUGUUUCUCGGAAGUGCAGGAGAGAAAGGAGCAAACUGAAGGAGAAGACGCUUGCCAGCCUACAGAGCUGGUGUCAAAAAAAGUCCUUCCCAGAAAUCUGGAGAUGCAGAACGUCUCAACUGUGUCAUCGGACUGUCCUCUCUUCACCAAGAAACCUUCUAUUGGCGGGUUCUGUGAAACCCCUGCUGCUUGAUGACUCUGAGCUCCUAAAAGGUCCCUGCAGUUAGAUUCUGUGCUUUUCCCCCUCAAUAUUAACUAGAAAACUCCUAUUUACAUAGGAUAGCAAGCUACGUUUUUUCCAACCACGUUCUCUAAAAUACGUCACAGUACAGUAUCAUGUUUGUUGCUUCACACAGAUGCUAAGAUUAAAAAGAUGACCAUGUCUACACUGGAUAGAAAAGAUGACUUAUAAAACAUGGCAGAGUUCAAUUUAAACAUUUAAAGAUUACAUAGAGAAGAUGGUCAUAAAUUAUCUGAAGUUUUACAACCUGUUCAUAAAGGUUAUUAAAAUUUAUUUUCAACACUGACAUUCAAAUAAAACUCAAUUGUGAAAAAUCUCUCCCAGUCCUACAAAAUGUGUUCAGUGAUUCUCUAUGGGUCAAGAAGACAGUUCCAAUGAUAUAAAAAUAAGUUCUGGGCCAUUGGACAUCUCAAAUAUCAAGUGAUUUGAUUAAGUAAACAGAUGGCACUGAAAUUUAAAAUGACAAACUUAUAACUCUUUUUAAAAAAUUGUAAUUACUUAGACUCCUAAAGAUAAGCUGUUCAUCUCGAAAAGAAAAACCAAAACAGCUAUUUCACUGAAUAGAAACAAUCUUCUUACCCAUCCUCAACCAUGAAGGCAAAUUUUAAAUAUGAUAGCAUAUAUAAUGUGACAAUGUUUACUUACAAAUACUCAUCAAAAUUGUUUUUAUUCACUAAUCUGGAGAAAGAAUCUGUGUAUGUUAUGUGUAUUUAAGUUGAUCAGGCAGAAGAAUAAAAGCAAGUCAUUCUGUUUUCGUCUCCAUAUAGGAUACUGCAUGCAUUAACUGUUAUUUCUUGAUUUAUAAGCUUAAGAUCUACUGAAUAAUUUUUUUUAACAACCUUAUGGGAGUAUAUAUAAUUGCUUUACAAUGGUAUGUUAAUUUCUGCUUUAUAACAAAAUGAAUCAGCUAUACAUAUACAUAUAUCCCCAUAUCUCCUCCCUCUUGCGUCUCCCUCCCACCCUCCCUAUCCCAUCACUCAGGGUGGUCACAAAGCACGCGGCUGCUUCCCACUAGCUAUCUGUUUUACAUUUGGUAGUGUAUAUAUGUCCAUGCCACUCUCUCACUUUGUCACAACUUACCCUUCCCCCUCCCUGUGUCCUCAAGUCCAUUCUCUAUGUCUGCGUCUUUAUUCCUGUCCUGGCCCUACGUUCAUCAGAACCAUUUUUUUUUAGAUUCCAUAUAUAUGUGUUAGCAUAUGGUAUUUGUUUUUCUCCUUCUGACUUACUUCACUCUGUAUGACAGACUCUAGGUCCAUCCACGUCUCUACAAAUAACUCAAUUGCGUUUCUUUUUAUGGCUAAUAUUCCAUGGUAUAUAUGUGCCACAUCUUAUUUAUCCAUUCAUCUGUCGAUGGACACUUAGGUUGCUUCCAUGUCCUGGCUAUUGUAAAUAGAGCUGCAAUGAACAUUGUGGUACAUGACUCUUUUUGAAUUAUGGUUUUCUCAGGGUGUAUGCCCAGUAGUGGGAUUGCUAGGUCAUAUGGUAGUUCUAUUUGCAGUUUUCUAAGGAACCUCCAUACUGUUCUCCACAGUGGCUGUAUCACUUUACAUUCCCACCAACAGUGCAAAGGGUUCCCUUUUCUCCACACCCUCUCCAGCAUUUAUUGUUUGUAAAUUUUUUGAUGACGGCCAUUCUGAC